rnacentral:misc_RNA from 1 species
CCAAUAGCGUAUAUUAAAGUUGUUGCAGUUAAAAAGCUCGUAGUUGAAUUUCGGGAUUGGCGCAUCGGUCGUGCCUCACGGGGUAUGAACUGGUGCAGUCAAUUUCUCACCUUCUGGAGAACCGCGAUGUCCUUAAUUGGAUGCCGCGGGGAACCAGGACCUUUACUUUGAAAAAAUUAGAGUGUUUAAAGCAGGCAUUUUUGCUUGAAUACAUUAGCAUGGAAUAAUAAAAUAGGACGGAAUGGUUCUAUUUUGUUGGUUUCUAGGACCACCGUAAUGAUUAAUAGGGAUAGUUGGGGGCAUUAGUAUUCAAUUGUCAGAGGUGAAAUUCAUGGAUUUAUUGAAGACUAACUACUGCGAAAGCAUUUGCCAAGGAUGUUUUCAUUAAUCAAGAACGAAAGUUAGGGGAUCGAAGACGAUCAGAUACCGUCGUAGUCUUAACCAUAAACUAUGCCGACUAGGAAUCAGACGAUGUUAAUUUUUUAAUGACUCGUUUGGCACCUUACG